rnacentral:rRNA from 1 species
CUACGGGUGGCUCCAGUGAGGAAUAUUGCACAAUGGGGGGAACCCUGAUGCAGCAACGCCGCGUGGAGGAUGACGCAUUUCGGUGUGUAAACUCCUUUUAUAUGUCAAGAAAAUGACGGUAGCAUAUGAAUAAGCGCCGGCUAACUCCGUGCCAGCAGCCGCGGUAAUACGGAGGGCGCAAGCGUUACUCGGAAUCACUGGGCGUAAAGGACGCGUAGGCGGGUUGAAAAGUCAGGUGUGAAAGCCUACAGCUUAACUGUAGAACUGCACUUGAAACUCUCAACCUAGAGUAUGGGAGGGGCAGAUGGAAUUAGUGGUGUAGGGGUAAAAUCCGUAGAUAUCACUAGGAAUACCUAAAGCGAAGGCGAUCUGCUGGAACAUUACUGACGCUAAGGCGUGAAAGCGUGGGGAGCAAACAGGAUUAGAUACCCUCGUAGUC